rnacentral:rRNA from 1 species
AUUGAACGCUGGCGGCAGGCCUAACACAUGCAAGUCGAACGAGUGGCGGACGGGUGAGUAAUGUCUGGGAAACUGCCUGAUGGAGGGGGAUAACUACUGGAAACGGUAGCUAAUACCGCAUACCAUCGGAUGUGCCCAGAUGGGAGUAGCUAGUAGGUGGGGUAAAGGAUCACCUAGGCGACGAUCCCUAGCUGGUCUGAGAGGAUGAACGGCCACACUGGACCGGGUACACGGUCCAGGCUCCUACGGUGGGCAGCAGUGGGGAAUAUGGCACAAUGGUCGCAAGCUUGAUGCAGCCAUGCCGCGGGUGUGAAGAGGGCCUUCGGGUUGUAAAGCACUUUCAGCGAGGAGGCGUUACUCGCAGAAGAAGCACCGGCUAACUCCGUGCCAGCCGCCGCGGUAAUUC